UCGAAACUGUGCGCACGCCGCUGCGCAAAUAUUUUCCCACCGCCAACCAUCGACCCGCGGUAUCCCGCGUGUUGGUCCCGGAGAAGCUUUCGGUGCAAUGGGCGUUGGAGCAUUGGAGUGCGCGCGCUUAACAUGGUGUUUGUGUGGUACACCUGAGUCCCACUCCCCCAUUAUCAGCUGCGCGCACCUUGUGAAGGAAUCGUGCGUUAUCCGAUGGAUGUGGUAAGGGGUGGUAAGCUAAAACUUCUCGGAACAGGAAAGAGACAGAAAGAGGGAGAGAGCACAACGGUUGGCAGAGAUUGAACAAUCAGUUGCAAAGCCCUUCGCUGAUAGCGUUCGCUUAAGUACACGAUAAUACAACGCGAAAGCCGGUGUUAAUCCAGCGUGAUACGAUCGAGAACUAGCAGCACAAGGUCGCUGUUAGACGAAGACGGUCGGCAGGAUAUUUGAGGCUCCUGGAGGAUGCCUUCUCCCACAAUGGAAUGUGACCAAACAAGAGCAUUCCCGUGUGAUGAAUGGUGGACCCGGUGGCUCUCAAAUGAGGAGUAAUUGUUGUACGUGAUACUCCCAAAUAAAUCAUCCCCAUUCGAGAAGUGGUGUAUUAGUCAGAAGUAACAAUAAGAUAAGCAGCGCAACGGAUAGCACACUUGGCACAGAUAAGCGCGCUACGCAUUGUUUGUGAAUGAAUGAUUCAAUAGAGCUAGUGGCACUACGGCACUAAUCUCUCGGUUCAGUAGUGACCAGAUAGUAAUUUGAAAUUCUACAAUCCCUUGAAGACGGCGCUCGCCUUCUAUUCGCAUAUCUGGAUAUAGUGGGCUGCCCGGUGGUCGACUGCGACUGCGGGGCACCGGUGUUCUACGGCAGGACCCGGAGUUCAAGUCUCAUCUGGGUCGUUCCCCUAAUAGUGAGGACUGACUAUUCAACUAUACGGUAUCAUUAAGUCUAGUAAGCCAGAAAUGGCAGGCAUGACCUUAAGCGGUCGUUAGGCCACAAAAGAAGAAGAAGACUUACAUAGUAAUAUUUCGUCUUCUCGGUGAUUAAGUGUAAGGUUCAAUCUGCACAAAUCUCUAACGAUCAAUCCACGGUCCAUAAGAAACGAUCCAGGCUUUCCGUUCUAAUUGAUAGGACGACCUGGCGCACCGGGUAGAGGCAACAAAGGGCCGUCGGUCUUCAUACGACAGGUCGGCAGUUCAAAUCCCAUCCGCACCGUUCCCCCGUAGUGAGGACUGACCAUCUAACUUUUUUUUCCUUGGCACUACAACCUCGAGAGGUCUCGGCCUGCCAUUUCUGGCUUUCAGUGACUUAAUUUUACCCGUAGUAAAGUUUUCAUAUCCCUAGGUACGGGGAGAUGGUCGAGAUGGGAUUAGAACCCCGGUCCUGCCGUGUGAAGGCCGGCGCCGUUAUCGCAUCUGCCACCGGACCGCCCCAAACUAUGACUAUCCAACUUCGUGGUAAUUAAGUCUAGUUAGCCAGAAAUAGCAGGCAUGACCUAAGAGUAGGAGGUCUUUAGGACAAUAAAAGAGAGAUAG